rnacentral:rRNA from 1 species
UACGGGGGGGGCAAGCGUUGUUCGGAAUUACUGGGCGUAAAGGGCUCGUAGGUGGCCAACUAAGUCAGACGUGAAAUCCCUCGGCUUAACCGGGGAACUGCGUCUGAUACUGGAUGGCUAGAGAUUGGGAGAGGGAUGCGGAAUUCCAGGUGUAGCGGUGAAAUGCGUAGAUAUCUGGAGGAACACCGGUGGCGAAGGCGGCAUCCUGGACCAAUAUUGACGCUGAGGAGCGAAAGCCAGGGGAGCAAACAGG